AAAACCCAAUAUUUUCUGUCAUGGCAAAAAUAAAAAUAAAAAACAUGUCAGCAACAGAUUACAGACCUACUAGAAUACACGCCUACUAGAUUAGCAAAGCCAGCAUUCCAUAAGAUCACGGAAUUGCUUACGGUGUCUUCUUGCAGAAAUUGCAUUGCGAAUUUGCCUAUCCAUAUCAAUAAAGACAGAGAUAGCUGGGAUGGAAACCAAAUUGAAGAACCUGUUAUUGCGCUCUCUCCAGAUGCUGUAUAUAUAUUUAAAAUGAGCUUGUAACUACAGUUCAUAUUGUCUAUUUCAUCACCCAAAUGACAUGGAUGGUGCAUAACCUAUGCGUCAUGAAAAAACCUAUUACGGAUUGAAGAGUAAGAUUCGAAGAUCUAGAGGAAGUUAAGAAGUUGACUUUUUUAUUCAUUGGUUUACUGAUUCCAGUCACUUACUAUCCUGAAUCCAUGACUUAGCUGCUUUGUUUUUUCUUCAAAACAAAUAUUCAAUUUACAAGUACAGAUUCAGAGACAUGGGAGAGAGGGUCAAGACAAUCCGCAAAAUAGAACAUUGAGAGGCAGAGGAAAGAGGCUCAUGAGAAUCCGCAACAACGGAAAUUGAGGGUAAAAAAAGUGAAACGAGACCUGAUUCUGUUUCUCUACUUUCAUUUAUAAUGAUGGAACAGAGUCCAUGAUAAAAAAAAAGAAAGAGAAAGUUCUCUACUUUUUACUUUGAUUUAUCGUUUCUAUUUACAUCAUCAGGAGAUGUCAGAGAAGCAUGAUAUCUAUGGUUUUUAGUUUUCUUCUAACUCUCCUUUUCAUCAUCUAUAUCUCAUUUUGCAUCAUCUAGAGGUUUUAAAAUUCAUUUUAGUCUCACUUUUGUAUUGUCUUGCAAUUUAGGGUCUUAGGUCAUUUAUCUUCCAUAUUGAAUAGAAUUGAGUCAUUUUAGGUGAUUUGGAGGCUUGGAGAAGAUUGGGGACUAAGGAGAUGAAGGAAGAGGUAAACAAAAUAUGAGAAAUGGAGAAAAGCAGUUAGUAGCGGCCAUCCCGAGCAGCCCUCCAGCCGGUAUGUACGCAUACCAGUCCAUUGACCUUAGCUUAGUUAAGUUCUCGGAUUCUAAGUGUAAUUCUUACCUAAAUUUUUGUGGAUUCGAUACAUUAUUGGUGCUACAGAUCACUUAACCAUGCACUUGCGGUUAUACUAUUCAGCUUAAAACUGGUUCUAUCAAAGCACAACAUAGAUGUUCAUGAUCGACAGAAUCCGCAGGAAAAUAUAAAAAGUGAUACUAAUCAGGUUUUGAAGUGAACCAUCACGAUUUUGUCAAUUGCAUUUUGGAGGUGAUAUUCGGAUGUGGUCUUUUUAAAAUUGGUGUUCUUCAGAUCAAACCCAAAGUUCAAUCUGGCAAAGUGAUGCGAGUCCGGUUAAGAGGUUUUGAAGCAUAUGAAAUUAGUAAAUGAAUAGUUUGUCAAAAGUUUUACAAUUACACAUCAGAAAUUCUAUUAAUUAUGUUACUUUAUGUGUUUUAUAUGUAGAGGGUCAGUAACUUAAUGA
rnacentral:lncRNA from 1 species